CGCCACAGCGUGGAGCCGCCGCAACGGUCGCUCCACGCGCCCCGCCCCGCGCGUGGCGCCUCGCCUCGCCUCACCUCACGGCACCUCGGCCGUUUUGUCUUCUAAAUACAUUUUUUUGAGGGGGGCGGAGGGAGAAAAUUGCAAAAGUAGCGGGAAGGAUGCAAAAGCAGGAGAGCGCGGUUUGGGGAGCGUGCAGAGAAGCAGUUCCCCCUGGCUGAAAUACUUCGGUUUGGCACCGCCCUCCCGCAGGCUGCGCGGAGAUGCGGAAGGGACAACGGCUCCAGCCUUUGUUUUAGGUGUAAAACAGCAGAGCACCCCCAGCUUGGCCUCGGGCGUCAGUCCUCCUCCAUCUGCCCGACAGGACCCGUUACUCAGAGGUGCAUAGAAAGACAAAUGCUUACGUUUAGACACCCACAUCCCAGGCAGAGCUCAGAGCCGGCAGCUCCUGAAGGGCAACACGAAGCCCCAGCAGCACGCCCUGCUGACUGCUGCCCGCGCGGCUCCUGUGAGCAAGGACCUCUGCUGAAGGAACCACCAUCUGCCCCCUCCGUUUUUAUUAUUUCAUUUCUUUUCAAAGGUUUUUAAUGAAUGUGGGAGAGACAGGUUUGGAACAGCGUUGGGGUGAUGGCAGAGGAAGUUCUCUGAAGUAAUCUGGGGGCAGUGCCAAGAGCCAUUCCAGUUCUCAGAAAAAUAACCAGUCACUGCUUAUGUGCUGGGAGCUGAAAGAUUGAUCAUUUUUGCUGCCAACAUUUACAGUCAGUCCUGACCGUGACAGUAGAUCAAAUACAUGUACUUUUCUGGACAGCUGACCUGGUUUGAACUCAAUGAGUGUUAAAUCUCAACGAUGACUACGUUUAUUUAAUAAAUACUUUGCUAUAUUUUUUAAAGCAACCAUAACCUCACCAAGCACCAAGCAGCCUCUUAGGACUGUUUCAAACACCUGGUGCCCUUGGUGCCUUGGGUAAUUGCUCAGACCCCGCAGGUGUGACUAGCUGGUGAAAUGAGAUGACACAGCUGGACUGAGACAAGCCACAAAAAAGUUGCUGGCUUGUUCUGCAGUUGGACAUUGAUUUGAACAAGAGUAACUUCCAGCUGGUGCCAGUGGGAGAAACAAUUUGAUCCUUUCUCUGUGCUCGGCUCUUAUUCCUUUCUCACUUUUGGCUUGUGUGCAGCAGGAAGGCAGUUAGAAAUAGCUGUUCUUACAUGCUUAGACUGUUUGAUUUUGGAACUUGGUGCUGGUUUUACUGGAGAUAGAAGAGCACCCACAAGCAGAGAAUGAAACAUCCCAUCCCCAGGCAGAGCUGUAACGGGAGAAAGGAGUGAAAGGAAGCCUGACCUGCUGGAAAACUGGGACAAGUCCUGCAGACAACAAUCAACCUUCCAAACAAAGGCAUUAGAAGUCAUGCUAUGCCUUUUUGUGAAAGAAUCGUCAUAACAGCACACAUUUUAAAAGAACAGCAAGCAGUGCAGGAGUGCUCUUUACUAACCUGUAUGCAGUUUAUCCUGAAGGACUGGAUCCAUUAAGGCUUGCAGAACACUGAAACUUGCUCUUGCUGCACUGUAUGCUGACGCAUAACGCAGAGAGGCAUACGCUGCUAUCUGAUAUUGCACGUGCGUUCUUCUUCAAAAUCUGGAACGGGACGGCUUCAGUUCUCAAAGAGAAACAAAGUUCACCACAGCUAUGGAAGCACUGGCAAGUGAAGCAGGCACAGACCAGCCAUGAGGUAAUCACAGCUGGAUGUAGACACCACGUGAUGAAUAACAAGGAUGUCUACCAGAACUCAGAAUUCAGAUGGGUGACCUGAGAACAGGACAAAGAAAACGUACUGAUACUUGGCUGACUGCACUAAAUAGAACAAUAAAGAUAAGGCCAAAUUAGAAACUUGUACAGGGUGAAAAAAAUGGAAGAUUUUGCCCAUGUACCCUCCCUCAUGCCUCAGGAUAGUUCUCCUGGAACAAAAGAUGCACACUGUGUCAUCAAAGGUAUGUCACUAAAAGAGCAAGGAGGAGAGCAGAGAAUUUAGGGAGAAACCUCACUUUACUGGGCAGUUAUCAAACCUGUAAGUAGUGCAGAAAUAUUAUUCCUGCUCUUCACUAAGUUAAGUACAAUUAUAGGACAGGAAAUGUGGAGAACAGCAGAUGAGACUAAUAGUAGCAGAUAUUACAGCACAAGCAUUGAGUUGAAUCUGAAGAGAGUUAUUUCCCUAAUGAAUAAAUAGUGCAGACCAAAACAUUUUGGUUUUAAUAUUUUCUGAUGACAAAAUUACUUAAAGAAAUGAAGAGAUUCACAGACUGUAGUAAGAAUGGAUCAAAAUUUACUGUUCACUACUAUUCAAUUACCUCCUAGGGACUGAUAUUUAAUAUUACAAUUCUCCAAAAUGAUGAAGUUUUUGAAGAAAUAGUAAUUAUCUAUUAAAA